rnacentral:lncRNA from 1 species
UACUUUUUUGACUAGGACAACGUUGGAAAUCCAAUCAGGAUAAUUGACUUUUCUAAUGAAUCCGGUCUUAAGGAGUUUGUCCACUUCCUCGACUAUCGCCUUCUGCCUCUCUGGUGCAUGACCUCGGAUUUUUUCUUUCGUCGGUCGAUGCUUGGGAUCAACGGCCAAGCAGUGCUCCAUGACUUCCGUGUCGAUCCCCGACAUGUCCGUCGGAACCCAAGCGAAGACAUCCGCAUUCCUUCGUAAAAAAUCGAUGAGACGCAUCCGCAUCUCUUCCCCCAGGUUGGAGCCGAUCAUCACCACAUGCUCCGCAUUCCCGUCGUUCAAAGGGAUCGGUACCAGAUCUUCAAUUGGACCGCCCCUCUCUUCAGUGAGGUCAUCGCGAGCAUCCAGCCCAUCAACUGGACAGGGGUCGGAUUGGUCGCUUCUUUGCAAGGCUAUGUGGUAGCAGUGUCUGGCCAGGGCUUGGUCUCCUCGGACCUCUCCGAUCCCCU